CACAGCGCGGGCGCAGGCGCGGGGCGGUGCACAGCGCGGGCGCAGGCGCCGAGAGGCGCGCAGGAGACCUCAGGCCCAGGCUCCACUCCCCAGCUGUGAAAGGACUGCUGUCCAGACCCCCAAGCUAGCCCGCCAGGCCUCCAUAGAGCUGCCCAGCAUGGCUGCGUCCAGUACCAAAAGUUGGUGGGAGACGGGUGAGGUACAGGCUCAGUCUGCAGCCAAGACUCCGUCCUGCAAGGAUAUUGUGGCUGGAGACAUGAGCAAGAAAAGCCUCUGGGAGCAGAAGGGAGGCUCCAAGACCUCAUCAACAAUUAAGGAAGGAGUGAUUGGCUGCUGGUCCUGCCCUGUCCGAGGAGGAGGACGGAACCCACCCACCAAGCUAUGGAGAGGUGGACCCCACAAAUCCCCUCGCAAGCCACGUCUGAGAGCGAGCAGAGGGAAGAAACUCAAGCGUUUGUAGUCCUCUUUCUUAACAACCAGGCUUAAAGCGCCAUCUUGUGUCUUGAAGGCAGAAGGAGGUCAGGAUGUGUGUGCUGGAAGCAGGCAGAGGAUCUUCACCAAUGUCUCAAAAACUAGAGAAGGAAACAUGGCGGCCCCAGCCCUUCCCGCACCCUGCGAUAGUCUGGUGUUGGGAGGGUGGCCCACGUGUCCAAGCAACCACAUCAGGGAGGUUCUGGGAGAGGAGAAGGCAAAGCUCCUGCCCUCAUGAGGCAGGCAGUCCCAUCCAGGACUGGACUGGAUGAGCACCAAUAAAUAAGAAAACACAGCUGGCAGCUGACUGUGAAGGGUCUGGACAGGGUGCCCAAGUG
rnacentral:lncRNA from 1 species